GACGAACGCUGGCGGCGUGCUUAACACAUGCAAGUCGAACGGAGCGGCGAACGGGUGAGGAAGGCGUGAGUAACUGACCCCCUCUCUGGGAUAACAGUUGGAAACGGCUGCUAAUACAGGAUAGUGGGGGCUGACUCGCGUCCGAUCAGCUUGUUGGUGGGGUAGUGGGCUACCAAGGCGACGACGGGUAGCCGGCCUGAGAGGGCGACCGGCCACAUUGGUCUGGGAUACGGCCCAAACUCCUACGGGAGGCAGCAGUGGGGAAUAUGGCGCAAUGGUGGAAACCCUGAGGCAGCAACGCCGCGUGCGGGAUGACGGCCUUCGGGUUGUAAACCGCGUUCAGCCAUGACUCGGUAGUGGCAGAAGAAGCACCGGCUAACUACGUGCCAGCAGCCGCGGUAAUUC
rnacentral:rRNA from 1 species